AUUGAACGCUGGCGGCAUGCUUUACACAUGCAAGUCGAACGGUAACAGGGUGCUUGCACCGCUGACGAGUGGCGAACGGGUGAGUAAUGCGUCGGAACGUGCCGAGUAGUGGGGGAUAACGCAGCGAAAGGUGUGCUAAUACCGCAUACGUACUGAGGUAGAAAGUGGGGGACCUUCGGGCCUCACGCUAUUCGAGCGGCCGACGUCGGAUUAGCUAGUAGGUGAGGUAAAGGCUCACCUAGGCGACGAUCAGUAGCGGGCCUGAGAGGAUGAUCCGCCACACUGGGACUGAGACACGGCCCAGACUCCUACGGGAGGCAGCAGUGGGGAAUUUUGGACAAUGGGCGAAAGCCUGAUCCAGCCAUGCCGCGUGUCUGAAGAAGGCCUUCGGGUUGUAAAGGACUUUUGUCAGGGAGGAAAUCCCUAGCGUUAAUACCGCUGGGGGAUGACAGUACCUGAAGAAUAAGCACCGGCUAACUACGUGCCAGCAGCCGCUGUAACAC
rnacentral:rRNA from 1 species